UACAGAGGGUGCGAGCGUUAAUCGGAAUUACUGGGCGUAAAGCGUGCGUAGGCGGUUAUUUAAGUCGGGUGUGAAAGCCCCGGGCUCAACCUGGGAAUUGCAUUCGAGACUGAAUAGCUAGGGUACGGUAGAGGGAAGUGGAAUUUCCGGUGUAGCGGUGAAAUGCGUAGAUAUCGGAAGGAACACCAGUGGCGAAGGCGGGUCCCUGGACCAGUACUGACGUUCAGACGCGAAAGCGUGGGGAGCAAACAGG
rnacentral:rRNA from 1 species